rnacentral:sRNA from 1 species
UACUAGGUAGGUUUGUGAGUAUCGCAAAGUGGAAUUUGUGACCGCCAUCUAAAACACUUGAUACAACUUAAUACAGGCAUCUCAAUCCUCGCACUAUUCUGACAGGACGAGGGGUAGAAUUAGGGGAAUAAUUAGCUAUAGGUUAGAGCACUAGAUUAGAAAUCUAGGGCCAGUUAGAAUGGUUAGCCUCUGAAAAAACAUACCUUUCUUAUCAUGCUAAACAGAGAACUGUUGUGGAUUAUGCAGAGAUCAUGUGACAUAACCUGACUUUGAACUGGACACGAAGGUGGAGAGUAAAAAACAUGCGUCCGCAGUUGAGCGCAUCCGCCCACGGCCAGCUUGUUUGAAAGGUACGGAAGAAAAACGUGCAGAUGGCGUGCUUGAUUAACGGACCUUCAUCAAAAUAGUACUUGUUGCAUUAUGUGUGGCCUAGACCCAACCGUUCCUCACAUCUUCUAUCUGCGAGAGUGGACGAAGUCAAGAUUGGUAAAGGAAAAACAAUAUCUUCACAUAACUGACUAGAUAACAAACAUCUUUCCUGCGGAAUACAAUAGAAUAGCCAAAUCCUCUUCUCUCCCUUUCUUUUCCAUGCAAUCGGUUUCUCUCAACACCCUAUGUACCUCUGACAUAUCCAGAAGAAAAUCGAAUAGAAUAACAGCCAGAAACAUAUAACGUUACACAAAAUCAGCCGGUCCUAAUAUAUAUUUGUCUUCUCUUCUCUUCUUCUCUUCUUCUGUUCUGUUUUCAUUUGUUCUCUUUCUUUUCUUUCCUUUAUUUUUUUUUGAAAACAUUUUUGCUUUUUGUUCAUUUUUUUACCCUUUAUAUUUCGUUCGCGCG